rnacentral:rRNA from 1 species
GACGAACGCUGGCGGCGUGCUUAACACAUGCAAGUCGAACGGAAAGGCCCCUUCGGGGGUACUCGAGUGGCGAACGGGUGAGUAACACGUGGGUAAUCUGCCCUGCACUUCGGGAUAAGCCUGGGAAACUGGGUCUAAUACCGGAUAGGACCCCGAGGCGCAUGCCUUGGGGUGGAAAGCUUUUGCGGUGUGGGAUGGGCCCGCGGCCUAUCAGCUUGUUGGUGGGGUGACGGCCUACCAAGGCGACGACGGGUAGCCGGCCUGAGAGGGUGUCCGGCCACACUGGGACUGAGAUACGGCCCAGACUCCUACGGGAGGCAGCAGUGGGGAAUAUUGCACAAUGGGCGCAAGCCUGAUGCAGCGACGCCGCGUGGGGGAUGACGGCCUUCGGGUUGUAAACCUCUUUCACCAUCGACGAAGGUCCGGGUUUUCUCGGAUUGACGGUAGGUGGAGAAGAAGCACCGGCCAACUACGUGCCAGCAGCCGCGGUAAUACGUAGGGUGCGAGCGUUGUCCGGAAUUACUGGGCGUAAAGAGCUCGUAGGUGGUUUGUCGCGUUGUUCGUGAAAUCUCACGGCUUAACUGUGAGCGUGCGGGCGAUACGGGCAGACUGGAGUACUGCAGGGGAGACUGGAAUUCCUGGUGUAGCGGUGGAAUGCGCAGAUAUCAGGAGGAACACCGGUGGCGAAGGCGGGUCUCUGGGCAGUAACUGACGCUGAGGAGCGAAAGCGUGGGGAGCGAACAGGAUUAGAUACCCUGGUAGUCCACGCCGUAAACGGUGGGUACUAGGUGUGGGUUUCCUUCCUUGGGAUCCGUGCCGUAGCUAACGCAUUAAGUACCCCGCCUGGGGAGUACGGCCGCAAGGCUAAAACUCAAAGGAAUUGACGGGGGCCCGCACAAGCGGCGGAGCAUGUGGAUUAAUUCGAUGCAACGCGAAGAACCUUACCUGGGUUUGACAUGCACAGGACGCGUCUAGAGAUAGGCGUUCCCUUGUGGCCUGUGUGCAGGUGGUGCAUGGCUGUCGUCAGCUCGUGUCGUGAGAUGUUGGGUUAAGUCCCGCAACGAGCGCAACCCUUGUCUCAUGUUGCCAGCGGGUAAUGCCGGGGACUCGUGAGAGACUGCCGGGGUCAACUCGGAGGAAGGUGGGGAUGACGUCAAGUCAUCAUGCCCCUUAUGUCCAGGGCUUCACACAUGCUACAAUGGCCGGUACAAAGGGCUGCGAUGCCGCGAGGUUAAGCGAAUCCUUUUAAAGCCGGUCUCAGUUCGGAUCGGGGUCUGCAACUCGACCCCGUGAAGUCGGAGUCGCUAGUAAUCGCAGAUCAGCAACGCUGCGGUGAAUACGUUCCCGGGCCUUGUACACACCGCCCGUCACGUCAUGAAAGUCGGUAACACCCGAAGCCAGUGGCCUAACCCUUGGGAGGGAGCUGUCGAAGGUGGGAUCGGCGAUUGGGACG